rnacentral:misc_RNA from 1 species
GAUGAAGAACGUAGCGAAAUGCGAUAAGUAAUGUGAAUUGCAGAAUUCCGUGAAUCAUCGAAUCUUUGAACGCACAUUGCGCCCUCUGGUAUUCCGAAGGGCAUGCCUGUUCGAGCGUCAUUAUCACCCCUCAAGCCCUCGGCUUGGUGUUGGACGGUUUGGUGGAGGCCCCCUCGGGGGCUCCUGCCCCUCCCAAAGACAAUGACGGCGGCCUCGUUGGACCCCCGGUACACUGAGUUCUUCACGGGACACGUAUCGGACACAUGGGUUUACGGGACACGGUCUGCCUCCCCUCAGGGAGAAUCUUUCUAAGGUUGACCUCGGAUCAGGUAGGGAUACCCGCUGAACUUAAGCAUAUCAAUAAGCGGAGGA